ensembl:snRNA U6 U6 spliceosomal RNA
AUGUCAUUUUGAUGGCAUGUAUACUAAAAAGUAGAACUAUAUGGAGAAGAUUAGCAUGAACCUUUGGCAAGAAUGACACAAAAAUAUGAAACCAUCCAUAUUUUU